rnacentral:rRNA from 1 species
AGAGUUUGAUCAUGGCUCAGAUUGAACGCUGGCGGCAGGCCUAACACAUGCAAGUCGAACGGUAACAGGAAGAAGCUUGCUUCUUUGCUGACGAGUGGCGGACGGGUGAGUAAUGUCUGGGAAACUGCCUGAUGGAGGGGGAUAACUACUGGAAACGGUAGCUAAUACCGCAUAACGUCGCAAGACCAAAGAGGGGGACCUUCGGGCCUCUUGCCAUCGGAUGUGCCCAGAUGGGAUUAGCUAGUAGGUGGGGUAACGGCUCACCUAGGCGACGAUCCCUAGCUGGUCUGAGAGGAUGACCAGCCACACUGGAACUGAGACACGGUCCAGACUCCUACGGGAGGCAGCAGUGGGGAAUAUUGCACAAUGGGCGCAAGCCUGAUGCAGCCAUGCCGCGUGUAUGAAGAAGGCCUUCGGGUUGUAAAGUACUUUCAGCGGGGAGGAAGGGAGUAAAGUUAAUACCUUUGCUCAUUGACGUUACCCGCAGAAGAAGCACCGGCUAACUCCGUGCCAGCAGCCGCGGUAAUACGGAGGGUGCAAGCGUUAAUCGGAAUUACUGGGCGUAAAGCGCACGCAGGCGGUUUGUUAAGUCAGAUGUGAAAUCCCCGGGCUCAACCUGGGAACUGCAUCUGAUACUGGCAAGCUUGAGUCUCGUAGAGGGGGGUAGAGUUCCAGGUGUAGCGGUGAAAUGCGUAGAGAUCUGGAGGAAUACCGGUGGCGAAGGCGGCCCCAUGGACGAAGACUGACGCUCAGGUGCGAAAGCGUGGGGAGCAAACAGGAUUAGGUACCCUGGUAGUCCACGCCGUAAACGAUGUCGACUUGGAGGUUGUGCCCUUGAGGCGUGGCUUCCGGAGCUAACGCGUUAAGUCGACCGCCUGGGGAGUACGGCCGCAAGGUUAAAACUCAAAUGAAUUGACGGGGGCCCGCACAAGCGGUGGAGCAUGUGGUUUAAUUCGAUGCAACGCGAAGAACCUUACCUGGUCUUGACAUCCACGGAAGUUUUCAGAGAUGAGAAUGUGCCUUCGGGAACCGUGAGACAGGUGCUGCAUGGCUGUCGUCAGCUCGUGUUGUGAAAUGUUGGGUUAAGUCCCGCAACGAGCGCAACCCUUAUCCUUUGUUGCCAGCUGUCCGGCCGGGAACUCAAAGGAGACUGCCAGUGAUAAACUGGAGGAAGGUGGGGAUGACGUCAAGUCAUCAUGGCCCUUACGACCAGGGCUACACACGUGCUACAAUGGCGCAUACAAAGAGAAGCGACCUCGCGAGAGCAAGCGGACCUCAUAAAGUGCGUCGUAGUCCGGAUUGGAGUCUGCAACUCGACUCCAUGAAGUCGGAAUCGCUAGUAAUCGUGGAUCAGAAUGCCACGGUGAAUACGUUCCCGGGCCUUGUACACACCGCCCGUCACACCAUGGGAGUGGGUUGCAAAAGAAGUAGGUAGCUUAACCUUCGGGAGGGCGCUUACCACUUUGUGAUUCAUGACUGGGGUGAAGUCGUAACAAGGUA